UUAAAGAACCAAAGACAGACGUGAAGGAGAAAAAAAAUAUAGCAGGAGGAAAGGCAAAAUUCCCUCCAAUUACAGAGAGAAAAGAAAAGAUUUUUAACCCGAAAGAAAAAUGUCACUUUCACUAGAGGAAGAAACAGCAAACCCUAACCCUAAUAUCAAUUCCAAGACACUACCAAUACCAACACCAACACCAACACCAACAUCCUUAAACAGAAAAACCAGAACCUCAAGCUUACCAGCGAUGUUGUUCAAAGAGCGAGCACUAAAGCAUGGGACUUCGAUAAUGAAAUCUCGGUCAAAUAGCCCGUUUGCAUCACCUCGACCUGUAGCAUCGCCUCGAUCUGUCCCACAAAGAACUUUAGGCUUCCAUUCUCAUGAACCGACCGGACCCGAUUACACCUCUCUUCUCAAUGAUGAGAUUCUCCUUCAAGUCUUCAGUAAAGUCCCAGUUCCACACCAUGUUUCCAGCUCUCUUGUUUGCAAAAGAUGGUUGUUCAUUCACGGACGUUUGGUGCAAUCAAUAAAGGAGGGCAAGGCUUUUGUCAUUGGAAGGGUGCUCAUUGCUGACGACAGGUUGUUUGGAGUCGGUUAUUCUGAAUUGGAAGGAACUUGAAAGACUAACAGUAAUUUCCUGUAAAAAUGUAAAAGACAGUGAAAUAACUCCUGAUCUGGCAACUCUGUUUUCUGUUCUGAAAGAGUUGAAAUGGCGACCAGAUUCCAAAUCUCUCCUGUCAGCAGGUCUUGCAGGGACUGGAGUGGGAAAUAAAGGUGGCAGAUUUUUCAAGGGAUUGAAAGUCUGACUGGACCAUUUGAUGGCUAGUAUAUUGGUUUCAAUUUGAAGAACAUUUGAUGAUUUCUUGGCAGCUACAAACUAAUUUGACGAUAAAGUGUACGCUGUAGAUUGUAGCAAUUUUCAUAUCUAAUUUAGACAAUUUAGCACUGCGGUGGUAGAGGAGGACUUGUCAGUGUAUUUCUCAAAGAGCCUGCUAAAGCAGAGCUUAUGAGAAGCAUUCCAAUACCCUAGAACCCCCUUUGAUUUAUGGGGGUGAAAUCUAUGUCAAAUUGAAUAUCUUUUGUCAGUUUAUAACUGGAGAAGUUUUCUCCAACGUUCAAAUAGGCCAGAUAUUCUAACUCAGCUAGUUAGUUGCUAGGAAUUAGAACAAGUGCAAGAUUGAUGGGCCUGCUAAUACAACAAUUUUUUAUGCUUUUAUUUUUGUGGAUCUCUAUGCAUGAUUCAUGAAGUGCUUAAUCAUUAUACAGAUUAUUGGCGAUGCUACAGCUUCAAUAUAGGUCCAAGGAGCUUUUUAUCAUAUCUUGUUAUCGAAAACAUUUUGGAAGGUAAUGUCUACUGUUUUAAUACUAAAUUGUCAUUCAAUACAGGAUCCUUCCAGCCUCUGUUUUUUUUUUUGGAUCUCUUUGUUUUCUUUAUCUUGCAGAAAUGACCAACAUCAUUAAGCAAUGACAAGAGGUAUCUAUUGGAUGUCUUCCCUCAGAAAAACUUUCAGAAGUUUCAGUUCUGCAGUGACAGGGCCAGGGGUACAAAUUGUUUGCCGCUUGUCUGCAGAUUUCAUGUUGCUUAUUUGUCAAUCGGAUCAAGGCUGAUGUUGUAGUGGGCUAUUGGCAGCUAGAUAGGAGAAAAAGAAGGUCCAAUAACUUAUCGUCAUAGUGUAUGAACUCGAAUGAUGGACCAUGGAAGAAACUGAUUAAGCAGAGGGCAGAACGCGAUUGCGAGAACUCCUUGCUGUAUAUUGCUGGUGAUACCUUGAUUUCAGAAGACUGGAUAAAUACAGUUUCUAAGGCAACUCUUGAUUGAUUUACACAGAAAGGAGCUUGGAGAGGACUGCCAAAGAAAAUUGUAGCAAAACGGGUGAAGUGAGAAGUGCAAGAUAUUGUUUCACUGUAGAAGAUAUUAAAUCAGAGAAAACUGUUGUAAGAUGAAUAAUGCUAGCAAGAGCCUGCUGUGCAAUAUGCAGUGGCUAUAGACCAUAGUUGAGAACCCUAAUAAUGGCUCGAUGAAUUGACUGUGUGAAGCGGCAAAUAUGGAGACACAAGCUGGAAUUUUUAGGGCUGUACAGGUUUGGUUUUUUUUUUUUUUUUCUUGUGGGAUGGGAUUAUAGCUUUGGCAAGGAUACAUCAUGUUCACAGGCUAGGAUUUCUUCUCAAAUAAAAUACUAUUAUUAACUCAAA